rnacentral:rRNA from 1 species
UGAUUAAGUAAGGAAGGGCGUACGGAGGAUGCCUUGCCACUCGAAAGUGAAGAAGGACGUGCCAAACUGCGAAAAGCUGCGGGGAGCUGUCAAGGGAGCGAAGAGCCGCAGAUGUCCGAAUGGGGGAACCCGGCAGGAGAAGAAGCCUGCCAUCCAGCGAUGAAUCCAUAGUUGCUGGAGAGCUACCCGGGGAACUGAAACAUCUAAGUACCCGGAGGAGAAGAAAACAACAGUGAUUUCCUGAGUAGCGGCGAGCGAAAGGGAAGGAGCCCAAACCGCAUUAAGGAGCGGGGUUGAAGGACCACGGAAAGGAAAGAGAAGGAUAGACGAACGCGAUCGAAAGCGCGGCCGAAGAGGGUGCAAGCCCUGUAGUCGAAAUCCGGAACGAGUACCGGUGGGAUCCUGAGUACGGCGAGACACGAGGAAUCUUGUCGGAAGCAGGCGGGACCAUCCGCCAAGGCUAAAUAUAAGCGAGUGAGCGAUAGAGGACCAGUACCGUGAGGGAAAGGUGAAAAGAACCGCGGGAGCGGAGUGAAAUAGAACCUGAAACCGUAUGCCUACAAGAAGUCAGAGCCCGUUAAAGGGUGAUGGCGUGCCUUUUGUAGAAUGAACCGGCGAGUUGCGGAUAGAUGCGAGGUUAAGCGGGAAAGCGCGGAGCCGAAGCGAAAGCGAGUCUUAAGAGGGCGGAAGUAUAUAUCUGCAGACCCGAAACCGGGUGAUCUAGCCAUGAGCAGGUUGAAGUUGAGGUGAAGCUCAAUGGAGGACCGAACCGACCACCGUUGAAAAGUUGGCGGAUGACUUGUGGCUAGCGGAGAAAUUCCAAUCGAACCCGGAGAUAGCUGGUUCUCCCCGAAAUAGCUUUAGGGCUAGCGUCGGAAGGAAGCGACAGGAAGGUAGAGCACUGAAUGUGUGAUGGCCCCAUCCCGGGGUACUGAAUACAAUCAAACUCCGAAUGUUCUGAAGCGUAUCCGGCAGUCAGACUGUGGGUGAUAAGGUCCAUGGUCGAAAGGGAAACAGCCCAGACCGCCAGUUAAGGUCCCAAAAUGCAGGCUAAGUGGAAAAGGAUGUGGGGAUGCCCAGACAACUAGGAGGUUGGCUCAGAAGCAGCCAUCCUUUAAAGAGUGCGUAACAGCUCACUAGUCGAGUGACCCUGCGCCGAAAAUGUACCGGGGCUAAGCCUGAUACCGAAACUGCGGAUUUAGGAAACUAAGUGGUAGGGGAGCGUUGUAUGCGGAUAGAAGCCAUACCGUGAGGAGUGGUGGACUGCAUAGAAGUGAGAAUGCCGGUGUGAGUAGCGAGAUGUAGGUGGGAAUCCUACACACCGAAAGCCCAAGGAUUCCAGGGGAAGGUUCGUCCGCCCUGGGUAAGUCGGGACCUAACGCGAGGCCGAAAGGCGUAGCGGAUGGAAAGCAGGCGCAUAUUCCUGCACCCGCGCAUGGAGUGAAGGAGUGACGGAGACGGCUAGUAUGACCCUCUUAAUGGAUUGAGGGCGAAGCGAGGUAGCGGAUGCACAGGCAAAUCCGUGCAUCAGGAACGUGAAGACGUGACAGGUAAGCGAAAUCCAAGGAAAGUAGCGAAGCAUAUGAGGCCGGCUUCCAGGAAAAGCUUCUGGCAAUGCAUGAGCGGCCCGUACCAAAACCGACACAGGUGGGCAGGUAGAGAAUACCAAGGUGAGCGAGAGAACUGUUGCCAAGGAACUCGGCAAAAUAGCUCCGUAAGUUCGCAAGAAGGAGCGCUUCGAAAGAAGCCGCAGUGAAGAGGCCCAAGCGACUGUUUAACUAAAACACAGCUCUCUGCGAAGUCGCAAGACGAAGUAUAGGGGGUGACACCUGCCCGGUGCUGGAAGGUUAAGGGGAUCUGUCAGAUGAUAUCAAAGCAGUGAACCGAAGCCCCAGUGAACGGCGGCCGUAACUAUAACGGUCCUAAGGUAGCGAAAUUCCUUGUCAGGUAAGUUCUGACCCGCACGAAAGGUGUAACGAUUUGGGCGCUGUCUCGGCAGCAGGCUCGGUGAAAUCUUAGUACCUGUGAAAAUGCAGGUUACCCGCAACUAGACGGAAAGACCCCAUGGAGCUUUACUGCAGCUUAGUAUUGGAUUUCGGUCAUACAUGUACAGGAUAGGUGGGAGAC